GAGUACCAGGAAGUGUCCACUGA
rnacentral:piRNA from 1 species